rnacentral:rRNA from 1 species
AUUGAACGCUGGCGGCAGGCUUAACACAUGCAAGUCGAACGAGUGGCGGACGGGUGAGUAAUGCUUGGGACUCUCGCUUAUGGAGGGGGAUAUCUACGGGAAACUGUAGCUAAUACCGCGUACCCUAGGAUGCGCACAUGUGGGAUUAGGUAGUUGGUGAGGUAAAGGCUCACCAAGCCGACGAUCUCUAGCUGGUCUGAGAGGAUGAACAGCCACACUGGGACUGAGACACGGACCAGACUCCUACGGGAGGCAGUAGUGGGGAAUAUUGCGCAAUGGGGGCAACCUGACGCAGCCAUGCCGCGUGUAUGAAGAAGGCCUUCGGGUUGUAAAGUUCUUUCGGUAGCGAGGCGUUAACUACAGAAGAAGCACCGGCUAACUCCGUGCCAGCAGCCGCGGUAAUUC